CCGCCCGCCCCUCCUCAGCGCCCCGGGCUGCGUGCUGGGCUCUGUCGGUGGCGGCACCUCAGCGAGCGGAGGGUCCGAGCGGGACUUGGUGGGGAUGAAAGCUCAGAAGUCCUUCUCAAAAGGCCGAGCGAGUUGUUGUUACCGCUGUGAGUGAGGUACGCCGAGGAGAGCCCGCAGGGAGAACAAAAGGACCCGGAGCUCACCCUUACCUCCAGACAGCUUUGUCUUGUUGCUUUUGAUGAAGAGGAGGAGGACAAAGAGGAGGUAGUGGCCACACACCGACCUUUCACUGUAAAUACCAAAGGAGAUAUGGAGGCAGGUGCAGGAGCCAACCCCACAACAGCCAGGAUCAGAAUAAUCCCAACUUCAUACAUUUGCACCACAUUGGUGCUAUUCCACUGACAACGCUUGUAGUUCUGCAAUGUGUUUGAUCUGUAAACAAGCCUGAUUAUCUGUUUUGCUCUGCUUGUUUUAGCACUUUUAUGCUCACAUACAUGAACAAGAGUAUUGCAGUUCUGUUUGUGUACAUAAGGGGGAAGGCAAAAACCUUGAGUUCUUACCUGCCUGCCUUCAAAGGUUCCAGAAUAUUUAAGUUAGAGACAUUAGCUGUCUACUGUGCAGCAAGUUUUCUCUACAAUAACCACAUUUGAAGCUUUGACCACUUUUUACUACACCUACUAUUAAAAUUUCAUCUUCUCUCUUACUUGAUGACAUGCAAGUUUUGAUGUAACACCAGAUCUACAAUAACUUCCUUACCAAAGUUCACAUUGAUGAUGACUGGAUGCUUACAGAUCCACGGGGU